rnacentral:rRNA from 1 species
CGGGGUGGAGUAAUGUCUGGGAAACGUGCCUGAUGGAGGGGGAUAACUGCUGGAAACGGUAGCUAAUACCGCAUAACGUCGCAAGACCAAAGAGGGGGACCGUUCGGGCCUCUUGCCAUCGGAUGUGCCCAGAUGGGAUUAGCUAGUAGGUGGGGUAACGGCUCACCUAGGCGACGAUCCCUAGCUGGUCUGAGAGGAUGGCCAGCCACACUGGAACUGAGACACGGUCCAG